AUCUCGAAUUACAUUUCCGACACUGUAGCAAAACAUGUACUUGUUAGUUAAUUAAUAAUUAGUAGAAUUAUUGUAUUAUUGUAGCACAACCUAAAUUUUUGAUCUCAUACUAUUUAAAUCAAACACUUUUCCAUUUUAAUGAAUUUACGAUGCCCCAGUUACUACUAAAAAUUUCUUCCAAAUUAGGAAUAGGAAACGAUGAAGAAGUCAUUUCUAAGGAAACCCUUACAGAACCGGCAAUAUUAACUCAGUCACUUGAAGCUUUUCGAGUCAUGGUAAAUGAUGCAUUUACUAAGAAAAUACUUGAUAGUCUAGAAUCAUUGUCGUGUAAUGAAGACAGCGAAAGUGAAGAAGAUAUCUGCGAAAGCCCAAAGAAAAAGAAAUGUACAUAACCAUGACCUACUCACUACAGAUAGCGCGCGAGUUAAAUGCAUACGGGGCCUGAGGGAGCAUCUCCCCCGCUGUCCACACGCUAUUGACGAUAGAACAAAAUAAUGUUCAACAAUACUAUAGAACAAAAAAGUCCGCGAUAGCAUAUGUCCAACUACUGCAGUUAUUCCAUUGUAUCUACUUUUUUACAUUUUAAAAGUUUAUAAAACUCUGUAUUAAUCCUUAUCCCAUUAAAUGAUAUUUUAGUAGAGCUUUCUAAAUUAUUAAAAUCGGACUUUCCAUUCAAAAGAUAUAACGAAGUUAAAAAAGUCAAUCUAAUGAAAAUAAUGCAGUAAUAAAAUAAGUUAUUAUUUUAUUUAAGGGAAAUAAAUCUUUUAUGAUAAAAAAAUAAAUUUACAGUCCAAUUUAGUAGACUUUCCUUUACCACGACAUCGGUAUGUACGCGAGUGUAAUCUAGAAAACUAGGUCACAGCACUAUUACAUUCCUGAACUCUGCAUUCAACUCGCGCGUUUUCUGUAGGUUUAUUAUUAUUAUUUUAAAUUUUUUUAUCUGUGUGUAAGGGUUAAUGGUGUUUCAUUGAUUGAUUCAUAAAUAAAAUUGAUUGUGUAUCAGAAAUAAAAACCUCAAUAACA